UAAAGCAGCUGUUCAGUAAAGUAUUAACAAGUGAAAACACGGAAACUGUCCGUCGAAUAACUGCAGUAAAGUAAGAAAGUGCAUAUAUUCUUUGUAUUGAAAAUUAAAACAUCAUACAAAGGAUCAUUCGCUGAUUAUCGAAAAGACGUACAAACAUUUAUUAAUGCAGGUCCACAAGAAUUGGCAAUAAUUUUAUCUGGUGGUGGUUUAUAUACUGCUGCAUUGAAGCUGCUUACUGGCUUCGGAUUAUCACCUCUUCUCAUAUGGGUACGCCACAUUACCAAGGAAGCGCCAAUGAAGCAUGAGCGUGGUCACAGGAAAGUGAAAUGGCUGAUUUGCUUCAUCGCAAUAAAGCAACCAAUCUGGCCCGAUCGCUGUUACAAAAACUCAUUUAUGAUCCUGAGUUAGAAAAUUCUACUAGCGUAUGUAAACAUAUAGCAAACAAGCUGCUAAGUCUCAACGCUUUUAUACCGCAAUGGCUAUAUAAUGACUAAAAGUUGGCGAAUUGUCCAGAGCUCUUGUAUAUGUUCGUCAAACAUAAUUCCUUAAUUAAAGCUGCCAAUUACCACUUGGCAGCCGGUUUUACUUUACCGGAAUGACUCGGGUUUUUUUCCUGACCAAGGGCUGCCGCCCCAGUAAACUAGACCUGUCUAGUGUACCGUAUCCCACCCCCAAUCUUUCGUCACAGGAGCAAUCCCUUGCAGCAGAUUUGCUCCAAUUACUUCUCUUCAGGGCUGGCGUCGAACCAGACCCUGGACCAGAGGUAUUUUACUGCUGCAUCUACCACAAACGGCUCCACCCGAACUCCACCUCGGUGCCAUCUUAAGACCUGCUCAGGUCUUGAGACUCAUAAGGAGUGGUACACAAGGUAUAGGGCCACGUGUUGCUCCCGCCGUCAGGCGGCCCCUACCUCAACGGCGAUACCAUCAUCAGUGCCGGUAAGCCACACUGCCGCCGCCAACCAUACCUUAGCUGUAAGGAUCCCUCAGGCGCAACACAACUCCCCCACUGACCCACAACCUUCCUGCUCCUACCCCAGUGCGGGGACAAACCAGCAGCUCUUGGCCUCCCGCACAGUCUGUUCCGUGUGUCAGACCAUAGUUCCUCAGAACCUAACAACAGUCCAGUGCAAUUCUUGCAAUGGCUGGUGCCAUUUUCGGAGGUGCUCUGGCUUGUGCACCACCCGUGAGUGGACACGCGAUUACUGCCCCCUAUUGCAGAGCUCUGCACCCGCAACACUCCCUGUGGCGGGGCCACCCGUCAACGUCAGGCCACAACAACUUUUGCGGAACGCACAGCAGGACCAACGCAGACAACCCCACACGUCCCUCACCCCCCGAGUUGCAACGACCUCACCCAGAAGCUUUAAGCUUCUGCAAUUCAACUGUAACGGACUCAAGAUCAAGGUCGACGAG